rnacentral:rRNA from 1 species
UACGUAGGGUGCGAGCGUUAAUCGGAAUUACUGGGCGUAAAGCGCACGUAGGCGGCGCAGUAAGUCCCAUGUGAAAGCCCACGGCUUAACCGUGGAAGUGCAUGGGAAACUACUGUGCUUGAGUACUUAAGAGGAUCGCGGAAUUCCCGGUGUAGAGGUGAAAUUCGUAGAUAUCGGGAGGAACACCAGUGGCGAAGGCGGCGAUCUGGGAAGAUACUGACGCUGAGGUGCGAAAGCGUGGGGAGCAAACAGG